rnacentral:sRNA from 1 species
UCUGUUGCAGGGGUCACCGGCCAAGGAGGCGGUCUACCCUGUGGGUCCUCCCCGCUGCAGGGCACACAGAGUGGCUCCCGUGGGGCUGAGCACGAGGCAGUGGCUCCUGACCCUCCUACAGCAUCAGCACUGCCCCUGCCGGCCGCUGCCGGGAGUCCAGGACCGGGCGGACAGGAGAAGCCCCACCUUUGGCUCAGCACAAAGCCCACAGCACAGCCCCGGUGCACAGACGCGGUCACAUGCACGCCCGUCCACACACACCCAGAGAUGGCUACAGGGCUAGUGGAUUUUUCCCCAGACUGGGCACCCAGGAUUUUUUAACUCUCAAGCAAUUCAUCACUGUUACCAUUUAAGUAUUUCUGCCAGUUUAUUAAAAGUUAUAGAAUCCUUUAGUAAA